UACGUAGGGUGCGAGCGUUGUUCGGAAUUAUUGGGUGUAAAGGGCGUCUAGGCGGGAGAUUAAGUUAGAUGUGAAAGGCGUGGGCUUAACCCACGAAUUGCAUCUAAAACUGGUUUUCUUGAGUUCGGGAGAGGAGAGCGGAAUUCUUGGUGUAGCGGUGAAAUGCGUAGAUAUCAAGAAGAACACCAGUGGCGAAGGCGGCUCUCUGGCCUAGAAUUGACGCUGAAGCGCGAAAGCGUGGGUAGCGAACGGGAUUAGAUACCCCCGUAGUCCCUGAG
rnacentral:rRNA from 1 species